rnacentral:rRNA from 1 species
GACGGAGGAUGCAAGUGUUAUCCGGAAUCACUGGGCGUAAAGGGCGCGUAGGCGGCACUGUUAGUCAGGCGUGAAAGUCCUGGGCUCAACCUGGGAACUGCGCUUGAUACGGCAGAGCUAGAGGAUGGAAGAGGCUCGCGGAAUUCCCAGUGUAGAGGUGAAAUUCGUAGAUAUUGGGAAGAACACCGGUGGCGAAGGCGGCGAGCUGGUCCAUUACUGACGCUGAGGCGCGACAGCGUGGGGAGCAAACAGG